ACGCUCGACACCUACGGGGGCAGCAGUGGGGAAUAUUGCACAAUGGGGGAAACCCUGAUGCAGCGACGCCGCGUGAGCGAAGAAGUAUCUCGGUAUGUAAAGCUCUAUCAGCAGGGAAGAAGAUGACGGUACCUGACUAAGAAGCACCGGCUAAAUACGUGCAGCAGCCGCGGUAAUCUGAGCGGGCUGGCAAGGC
rnacentral:rRNA from 1 species